rnacentral:rRNA from 1 species
GGAGGGAUCAUUACUGAGUUAUCUAACUCCCAAACCAUUGUGAACUUACCACUGUUGCCUCGGCGGCAGGUCCUCUGUAUUCUCACGAAGUCAGAGGCAGCCGCCGGUGGACUACUAAACUCUUGUUAAUUUUUGUCAAUUCUGAAUAAAAAACUUAAUAAGUUAAAACUUUCAACAACGGAUCUCUUGGCUCUGGCAUCGAUGAAGAACGCAGCGAAAUGCGAUAAGUAAUGCGAAUUGCAGAAUUCAGUGAAUCAUCGAAUCUUUGAACGCACAUUGCGCCCGCCAGUAUUCUGGCGGGCAUGCCUGUCUGAGCGUCAUUUCAACCCUCGUACCCGGUUCGCUGGGAACGGUGUUGGGGAUCGGCCGCCCGUUACUGGGAGGCCGGCCCCGAAAUAGAGUGGCGACCACGCCGUGUGCUCCUCUGCGUAGUAGUAAAUCACCUCGCAGGCGGACAGCGGUGCGGCCUGCCGUAAAACCCCCAACUCUUUCUAUGGUUGACCUCAGAUCAGGUAGGAAUACCCGCUGAACUUAAGCAUAUCAAUAAGCGGAGGAAAAGAAACCAACAGGGAUUGCCUCAGUAACGGCGAGUGAAGCGGCAACAGCUCAAAUUUGAAAUCUGGCCCUAGGCCCGAGUUGUAAUUUGCAGAGGAUGUUUCUGGCGAGGUGCCUUCCGAGUUCCCUGGAACGGGACGCCAUAGAGGGUGAGAGCCCCGUACGGUUGGUCGCUAAGCCUCUGUGAAACUCCUUCGACGAGUCGAGUAGUUUGGGAAUGCUGCUCUAAAUGGGAGGUAUACGUCUUCUAAAGCUAAAUACCGGCCAGAGACCGAUAGCGCACAAGUAGAGUGAUCGAAAGAUGAAAAGCACUUUGAAAAGAGGGUUAAAUAGUACGUGAAAUUGUUGAAAGGGAAGCGCUUAUGACCAGACUUGGACCGGUUGAUCAUCCAUCGUUCUCGGUGGUGCACUCUGCCGGUUCAGGCCAGCAUCAGUUUGUCCCGGGGGAUAAAGACUUUGGGAAUGUGGCUCCUCCGGGAGUGUUAUAGCCCACUGUGUAAUACCCUGGGAUAGACUGAGGU